CCUACGGGAGGCAGCAGUAGGGAGUAUUGCGCAAUGGGCGAAAGCCUGACGCAGCCACGCCGCGUGGAUGAUGAAGGCCUUCGGGUCGUAAAGUCCUUUUAUGAGGGAAGAACAGUCCGGUGAGGAAAUGCUCCGGAUUUGACGGUACCUCAGGAAUAAGCCACGGCUAACUCUGUGCCAGCAGCCGCGGUAAU
rnacentral:rRNA from 1 species